UACGAAGGGUGCAAACGUUGCUCGGAAUUAUUGGGCGUAAAGCGCACGUAGGCGGCUUUGCAAGUCGGAUGUGAAAUCCCUCGGCUCAACCAAGGAAGUGCAUCCGAAACUGCAGAGCUUGAGUACCAAAGAGGAUCGCGGAAUUCCCGGUGUAGAGGUGAAAUUCGUAGAUAUCGGGAAGAACACCAGUGGCGAAGGCGGCGAUCUGGGUGGAUACUGACGCUGAGGUGCGAAAGCGUGGGGAGCAAACAGG
rnacentral:rRNA from 1 species